GCUGGGAUAGCUCAGCCGGUAGAGCAUGAGACUCUUAAUCUCAGGGUUAUGGGUUCAAGCCCCACCUCGGGCA